UACAUGGAAAUUACUAUGGGAAAUGCGUGAUUUUGCUUCAAACGCUCCUGCAAGCUAAGCGACAAACUUUAGCCCACACUUACACUAGGUAGCCGUGUCGGGGGUGGUCCAAGGAACAUUUUUCUCUAAGGGUUCAUGGUCAUCCGUUCAACCCUGAGCUUGCGCAACGCGGAAUUAUCCGGCGGCGCCGGAAUUCUUCAAAAUCUCAGUUUUAAUUGUCAACGCAUGCUUCGUAACUAUGAAUGUAGCAUAUUGUGAAACGAAAAACACGACGCCAAACGUCAACACAUUAAAAUGAAAGCAGGAAAGAACAGUUCGUCGUCGAAUCGGCUGGCCAGCAAAUUCUUGUAGAGCAGUUUCCCAUAGCAUGGGAAAGAACUUAAGUCCACAAAGGACGUGGUGUGAGAUGUUAGUCCGGUGGAGUUCCUGUACGCGAAACCCCGAUCACUUUGGCCUCCCGUAGAAAAGGAAAACAUCUCGAUUGCGGUACGCCGAAAAUGAUGGAAAAGGUAUUCAAGAGCGGCAAGAAAUCAAGCAAAAUCGACAUAAGUUCGAAAUUAUGUUGCAGAGGAAUCCACAGAUCAUGAUGGGAGUUUGUCGACGCUGAAGAAAAGCCACCUCUCUAAUAAAAAUGUGUCCAUCAAAUUUA